rnacentral:misc_RNA from 1 species
AAAUGCGAUAAGUAAUGUGAAUUGCAGAAUUCAGUGAAUCAUCGAAUCUUUGAACGCACAUUGCGCCCCCUGGCAUUCCGGGGGGCAUGCCUGUUCGAGCGUCAUUACACCACUCAAGCCUCGCUUGGUAUUGAGCGCCGCGAGCGAUUCCUGCCCGCGCGCUCCAAUGUCUCCCGGCUGAGCCGUCCGCCUCUAAGCGUUGUGGUCUACCAGUGCCGCUUGCGAGGUUCGGACGCGCUCAACGCCGUCGACCCCAUCUUCUUUUAAAGGUUGACCUCGGAUCAGGUAGGGAUACCCGCUGAACUUAAGC